rnacentral:tRNA from 1 species
CGCGGGGUGGAGAAGUUAGGCAUCUCGCCAGGCCCAUAACCUGGAGGUCAUCGGUUCAAAUCCGGUCCCCGCAA